AACGAACGCUGGCGGCGUGCCUAACACAUGCAAGUCGAACGUGAUUGGAAGCUUGCUUCCAUGAAAGUGGCGCACGGGUGAGUAACGCGUAGAUAAUCUACCUGAUGAUCCGGGAUAACACUUCGAAAGGGGUGCUAAUACCAGAUAAGCACACGGAGUCCUUGGACUCUGCGGGAAAAGGGGGGGAUCGCAAGACCUUCCGUCAUCAGAUGAGUCUGCGUACCAUUAGCUAGUUGGUAGGGUAAAGGCCUACCAAGGCGAUGAUGGUUAGCUGGUCUGAGAGGAUGAUCAGCCACACUGGAACUGGGACACGGUCCAGACUCCUACGGGGGGCAGCAGUGGGGAAUUUUGCGCAAUGGGGGAAACCCUGACGCAGCAACGCCGCGUGAGUGAUGAAGGCCCUUGGGUCGUAAAGCUCUGACAGAGGGAAAGAAAUGCAGAGUGGCUAAUAUCCACCUUGCUUGACGGUACCCUCAAAGGAAGCACCGGCUAACUCCGUGCCAGCAGCCGCAGUAAAAC
rnacentral:rRNA from 1 species